ensembl:lncRNA
GGGCGUUGUUGUUGUCGCUGGCCUCCAGCAGCAGGGAUGAACCGCUGGGAAACACAACUGAUAGGAAAACAAAGAGCUUGAUCCAUGGAUCCUCACCGCAGGUUAUACUGUAGUCACCGUCUUUCAUGGUAGCUUUAAUGUUGUGAUCACGGCUGCACAUUUGAUAGGUAGUUUGAUAGGUAGUUGUGUGUUGUGAUGGUAGUUUUGAUUUGUGAUGAUAGUUGUGUGUUGUGAUGUAAGAUAUGUGUUGGGAAGUUUUGUUUUGUGUUGAUAGUUAUGUGUUCUGAUGGUAGUUGUGUGUUUUGACUGUAGUUUUGUUUUCUGAUGGUAGUUAUGUUUUCUGAUGGUAGUUGUGUGUUUUGAUGGUAGUGGUGAUGGUAGGUGUUUAUUGUGAUGGUAGUUGUGUGGUUUGAUGGUAGCUGUGUUGUGGUGUAAGUUUUGUUGGGAUGUUAGUUGUGUGUUGUGAUCGUAGUUGUGAUGCUAGUUGUGGUGGUAUUUGUGUAGUUGUGAUGGUAAUUGUGUAUUAUGAUAGUAGUGGUGUAGUUGUGUGUUUUGAAGGUAGUUGUGAUAGUAGUUUUGAUGGUAGCUGUGUAGUUGUUGAAUGGUUGUGUAGUUGUUGUUUCGUUGUGAUGGUAGUUGUAAAGUUGUGAUGGUAGUUGUGUAGUUGUGAUGGUAGUUGUGAAGUUGUAAUGGUAGUUGUAAUGGUAGUUGUAUAGUUGUUGUCUAGUUGUGAUGUUAGUUGUUGUUAUUGUUUGUAGUUGUGAUGGUAGUUGUGUAGUUGUG